UACGUAGGGUGCGAGCGUUAAUCGGAAUUACUGGGCGUAAAGGGCUCGUAGGCGGCCAACUAAGUCAGACGUGAAAUCCCUCGGCUUAACCGGGGAACUGCGUCUGAUACUGGCGGGCUUGAAUCCGGGAGAGGGAUGUGGAAUUCCAGGUGUAGCGGUGAAAUGCGUAGAUAUCUGGAGGAACACCGGUGGCGAAGGCGGCAUCCUGGACCGGUAUUGACGCUGAGGCGCGAAAGCUAGGGGAGCAAACGGG
rnacentral:rRNA from 1 species